AACAUUGAAACAACUAUCCUUACCUUUUCCAAAGGUCAGAGGCUGCAUUUAUGGUGCUAAAGUACAUGCCCACACUGAGUCAGUGUCAGCAUGUACACUGGUUGAAUAUGUGAGCUCCCUGUUAGGCUGGCCUACGGACGGGUUGAAACAGGAAUCUGGAGACUCAGAUGAGGUGCAGACAAACCAAAUGUUUAUUUCACAACGUACAAAUUCAAUACAAAAAAGAACUUAGAAGAGGUAACAAAGGACGUGGCCUGAGGCUUCUCCUGUUUUUAUUUUGCUGAAACUGAAAGUACAUAUCUUCAACCCUCUUCAACAACGGCCUCUGGUUACAUUAACUAUCAGUCACAGAAGCGGAAGGACCAGCGAAUAGGAGUACAACAUCACAAAAUGGCAAUAUACCAGAUCACUAUUUGUGGAUUAGGCAAAAUUAAGUUAAUCGACCUGGGGUCCAGGGGCCAGUUUGAGAGCGUCACGGUGGGACAGCUGAAGGAGAAGAUACAAGAGACGUUUCUUGAUAAGGCCACAGAUGGUUUAAGGCUUAAAUUUAGGAACCGAACGCUAAAUACGGCGAUGACAUCCCACUGUGUGAAUAUGGAAUAGGACACAUGUCUGACAUAAAUGUAACUUUUAGAUUUUCAGGGCAGAUGACUGGCAGCUAGGGCUGCCAAACAAAACCUGUAAAAUUAAAGUAAAAAAAGUAUUUUAAAUAAUGUGCAAAAACAUUUAAUUUACAGAAAAUUGCAUUCAUUUUUUAAAUUUUUUUUACA